rnacentral:rRNA from 1 species
GAUGAACGCUGGCGGCGUGCUUAACACAUGCAAGUCGAACGGGAAAUCUUUCAUUGAGACUUCGGUGGAUUUGAUUUAUUUCUAGUGGCGGACGGGUGAGUAACGCGUGGGUAACCUGCCUUAUACAGGGGGAUAACAGUCAGAAAUGGCUGCUAAUACCGCAUAAGCGCACAGAGCUGCAUGGCUCAGUGUGAAAAACUCCGGUGGUAUAAGAUGGACCCGCGUUGGAUUAGCUAGUUGGUGGGGUAACGGCCCACCAAGGCGACGAUCCAUAGCCGGCCUGAGAGGGUGAACGGCCACAUUGGGACUGAGACACGGCCCAGACUCCUACGGGAGGCAGCAGUGGGGAAUAGUGCACAAUGGGGGAAACCCUGAUGCAGCGACGCCGCGUGGAGGAAGAAGUAUCUCGGUAUGUAAACUUCUAUCAGCAGGGAAGAUAGUGACGGUACCUGACUAAGAAGCCCCGGCUAACUACGUG